GAAGGGAUAGCUCAGUGGUAGAGCGUCUGCCCAGAAAGCACAGGUCCUGGGUUCAAUACCCAGUACCUCUG
rnacentral:tRNA from 1 species